CUCGGAGUGGUCUAGUUGGUUCAUGGCGUCUGACUGUAAAUCAGAAAGUCGGCGGUUCGAUUCCGUCCUCUGAGA
rnacentral:tRNA from 2 species